GGGUGUGGUUCAGUGGUAGAGUGCUCGCCUAGCAUGCAAUGCACAAGGCACUGGGUUCGAUCCUCAGCACCACA
rnacentral:tRNA from 1 species